GGCGGGGUAGCUCAGUCUGGCAGAGCAGUCGGCUCAUACCCGGCGUGUCAUAGGUUCAAAUCCUAUCCCCGCUACCA
rnacentral:tRNA from 2 species